rnacentral:lncRNA from 10 species
AGGAGUCAUCAAGAGCUGCCAAGCACAGUGGUGCCGGUUGUAAACUGCACAAUUCCCGGGAGUGCCAUUGACCUGGGUGGCUACAACUGCCAGCAACCCUGUAGCCACUCUGUUGGCCUCAGUGGUCUCAGCAGUAAAAUGGCACAGGAGACCCCGUCCUGAGAAGGACACACGGUCGUCAGAAGGAAUCUGGACUCCAUCUGGAACAGAGCGAGGACCCCUCUACAGAGCCGGGACCUUCUCCGGAAAGGAGCUGGGCCUGCAUGGCCGUGCACAGAUGCCGGGAGUGCGGUGCUCUGUCCACCCAGGACUCCGCUUGCAGGGCCUCACGCUGCAUGGCUGACCCAACCCAGGACUGCGCUUGCGGGGCCUCACACUGCCUGGCCCACCCAAUUUCAAACAGUUCUCACGCUAGAAGAUGCACAAAGCCAGCUUUACAUUUUGGGGAAUGAUUCAGAAGGGCCAGGGACCUGCCGAGACACCUGGGGCUUCUUUGUGGGGCCCCAUCAAUGGGAGGCGGGGACCCUUGGGUCAGCCCAGACCCUGCUGGGCCUCAGUUUCUCAUGCCCAGCUCCAGCCGGGAGCCUGGGCAGGUCCAGAAUCACCGCACACGCAGAAGGGCCUCACUAGGACGGGGUGAGAGCCCCACUGUACAGGUGAGAACAUGGAGCUGACUGAGGGAACAGUGUGGACGCAGCAGAGUCGCCUGAGAACCCAGCUCCAUGGCCCCCACGCCAGCCACCAAACCCCUCUGUGACCUGAGAAACAGAAACCAGACUCAGCCCGGCAGGUGUCAGACCCUGGUCUGGUUGGUCCGCAGCGGCUCCUGGCUCAGCGCAGGGACUGCCAGGGUCCAGGGGCCCUCAGGGGACUUGUUGAAGCCCAGCUCCUGCCAGGGAGGACAAGAACUCUCUUCUUCCAGGAGUAAACAGAAACGAGGGCCUGGCCCUGGGGUCCUAGGUGCCUCUGACCCCACCAGGAACCUCUGAGUCUCCCGAAGCACCUGCUGGCAGGGUGGGUGCAGCUCAGCAUGUGGGAGGACAUCGGGUCGCCAUUUCCCGAUAGAGCCAACAGCCUCUCCUCAAUGUGCUGUGCGGCCAGCCUGCCCCAGCUGGCUCUGGACUGAGGAGGUGGGCGCAGGGACUACAGAAGGGUCCAUGCUGGUGGGGGGC